AUUGAACGCUGGCGGCAUGCUUUACACAUGCAAGUCGAACGGCAGCGCGGGGCAACCUGGCGGCGAGUGGCGAACGGGUGAGUAAUAUAUCGGAACGUACCCAGAAGUGGGGGAUAACGUAGCGAAAGUUACGCUAAUACCGCAUACGAUCUACGGAUGAAAGUGGGGGACCUUCGGGCCUCAUGCUUUUGGAGCGGCCGAUAUCUGAUUAGCUAGUUGGUGAGGUAAAGGCUCACCAAGGCGACGAUCAGUAGCUGGUCUGAGAGGACGACCAGCCACACUGGAACUGAGACACGGUCCAGACUCCUACGGGAGGCAGCAGUGGGGAAUUUUGGACAAUGGGCGCAAGCCUGAUCCAGCAAUGCCGCGUGAGUGAAGAAGGCCUUCGGGUUGUAAAGCUCUUUUGUCAGGGAAGAAACGGCUGAGGCUAAUAUCCUCGGCUAAUGACGGUACCUGAAGAAUAAGCACCGGCUAACUACGUGCCAGCCGCCGCCGUAAAAC
rnacentral:rRNA from 1 species